UUUAGCUACAUGCUCAAGGUUAAAAGCAAAUGACAGGGAGAAUGCAAGAAGGGAUUGCUGGGAAGAAGGCCAGAGGAAAUUGGAGUGAGAAAUUCAAAAUGUAUGCAAGAGUUUGUCUAAGGAGAAUCAAAACUACUAUGUUUAGAAAAGGUUGAAAUUUCAUUAUUUUGCAAGAGUUACAUCAACAACUGCAAAAGCUUCAGGAAUUCCAGG
rnacentral:lncRNA from 1 species